GGGUGCGAUCAUACUAGCGUUAAUGCACCGGAUCCCAUCAGAACUUCACAGUUAAGUGUGCUUGGGUUAGAGUACUACUGGGAUGGGUGACCUCCCGAAAAGUCCUGGUGUUGCACCCU
rfam:Picea glauca, whole genome shotgun sequence.